rnacentral:rRNA from 1 species
CCUACGGGAGGCAGCAGUGAGGAAUAUUGGUCAAUGGGCGGAAGCCUGAACCAGCCAAGUAGCGUGCGGGAUGAAGGCCCUACGGGUCGUAAACCGCUUUUGCACGGGGAUAACACCCUCCACUUGUGGAGGUCUGCAGGUACCGUGCGAAUAAGGGCCGGCUAAUUCCGUGCCAGCAGCCGCGGUAAUACGGAAGGCCCGAGCGUUAUCCGGAUUCAUUGGGCUUAAAGGGAGCGUAGGCGGGCGUUCAAGUCAGCUGUAAAAUCGCGCGGCUCAACCGCGCCCCGCAGUUGAAACUGGACGCAUUGAGUUCACAACAGGCAGGCGGAAUUCGUGGCGUAGCGGUGAAAUGCAUAGAUAUCACGAGGAACCCCGAUUGCGAAGGCAGCCUGCCGGGGUGCGACUGACGCUGAGGCUCGAAGGUGCGGGUAUCAAACAGGAUUAGAUACCCCAGUAGUC